rnacentral:rRNA from 1 species
AAUUUUCCGCAAUGGGCGCAAGCUUGACGGAGCAACGCCGCGUGAGGGAUGAAGGUCUUCGGAUCGUAAACCUUUGUCAUCGAGGAAGAUAAUGACGGCACUCGAGGAGGAAGCCCCGGCGAACUACGUGCCAGCAGGCGCGGUAACACGGAGUGGGCGAGGCUUGGCCGGAAUUACUGGGCGUAAAGGGCUCGUAGGCGGCCUAUUGAGUCAGAUGUGAAACCCCUGGGCUUAACCUUGGGCUUGCGUUUGAAACUGAAAGGCUUGAGGGCAGGAGAGGAAAACGGAAUUCCCAGUGUAGCGGUGAAAUGCGUAGAUAUUGGGAGGAACACCAGUGGCGAAGGCGGUUUUCUGGACUGCACCUGACGCUGAGGUGCGAAAGCUAGGGUAGCAAACG